UACGGAGGGUGCAAGCGUUAUCCGGAUUCACUGGGUUUAAAGGGUGCGUAGGUGGGUCUGUAAGUCAGUGGUGAAAUCUCCGAGCUUAACUUGGAAACUGCCAUUGAUACUAUAGAUCUUGAAUAUUGUGGAGGUCAGCGGAAUAUGUCAUGUAGCGGUGAAAUGCUUAGAUAUGACAUAGAACACCAAAUUGCGAAGGCAGCUGGCUACACAUAUAUUGACACUGAGGCA
rnacentral:rRNA from 1 species